rnacentral:rRNA from 1 species
UACGAGGGGGCGAGCGUUGUUCGGAAUUAUUGGGCGUAAAGGGCGCGUAGGCGGUCGGAUAAGUCUUGUGUGAAAUCUUCGGGCUCAACUCGAAGUCUGCACAGGAAACUAUCUGGCUUGAGUGUGGGAGAGGUGAGUGGAAUUCCUGGUGUAGCGGUGAAAUGCGUAGAUAUCAGGAGGAACACCUGUGGCGAAAGCGGCUCACUGGACCACAACUGACGCUGAGGCGCGAAAGCUAGGGGAGCAAACAGG